rnacentral:rRNA from 1 species
CAACGACUCUCGGCAACGGAUAUCUCGGCUCUCGCAUCGAUGAAGAACGUAGCGAAAUGCGAUACUUGGUGUGAAUUGCAGAAUCCCGUGAACCAUCGAGUCUUUGAACGCAAGUUGCGCCUGAGGUCAUUAGGCUAAAGGCACGUCUGCCUGGGCGUCACGC